rnacentral:tRNA from 1 species
AAUGAAGUGGCCGAAAUUUGAAGGUAUUAGACUGUAAAUCUAAAGGUGGGUAGUUGCUCCUUCAUUA